AGCAGCCGCGGUAAUUCCAGCUCCAAUAGCGUAUAUUAAAGUUGUUGCAGUUAAAAAGCUCGUAGUUGAAUUCCGGGAUCAAGGAAUCGGUCAUGCCUUGGUAUGUACUGGUUUUAUUGGUUCUCACCUUCUAAAGAACCAUAAUGUCAUUUAUUUGAUGUUAUGGGGAAUUAGGACUGUUACUUUGAAAAAAUUAGAGUGUUUAAAGCAGGCUCACGCUUGAAUACAUUAGCAUGGAAUAAUGAAAUAGGACGUUUGAUUCUAUUUUGUUGGUUUCUAGGAUCGACGUAAUGAUUAAUAGGGAUAGUUGGGGGCAUUAGUAUUCAAUUGUCAGAGGUGAAAUUCUUGGAUUUAUUGAAGACUAACUACUGCGAAAGCAAUUUGCCAAGGAUGUUUUCAUUAAUCAAGAACGAAAGUUAGGGGAUCGAAGACGAUCAGAUACCGUCGUAGUCUUAACCAUAAA
rnacentral:rRNA from 1 species